CCAAAGGCUCUUUUCAGAGCCACUUGGCUUGGCAGGAAAAGAGCUGU
rfam:Equus caballus chromosome X, whole genome shotgun sequence.